GAUGCGAUAUGCUCAGACUGUUCU
rnacentral:miRNA from 1 species